UGCCUAAACUCGUCAAUCUCUGACGAGCAUGGCUAAAAGACCCAAGGAUGACACUGAACCCCGCGUUCAGCAACUCAUCCUUGGGCUAUAUUCCGAAAGGGAUAUAGGGUCGCAAGACCU
rnacentral:sRNA from 12 species